GUGAAUCAUCGAAUCUUUGAACGCACAUUGCGCCUUUUGGUAUUCCGAAAGGCAUGCCUGUUUGAGUGUCAUAUGACUUCUCAUACCUAGUUUUCUAUGUAUGAGCUUUGGACGCUGCCAUCCGUGGCUCGUCUUAAAUGUCUAAGUGGAAUGCGUAAUAAGUUUUCGCUCCCUCCACUCUAAUAACUCUUAUGUUAGACCUCAAAUCAGGUAGGACUACCCGCUGAACUUAAGCAUAUCAAUAAGCGGAGGA
rnacentral:misc_RNA from 1 species